UGGGGAAUUUUGCGCAAUGGGCGGAAGCCUGACGCAGCGACGCCGCGUGGGGGAAGAAGGCCUUAGGGUUGUAAACCUCUUUCAGGUGGGACGAAGCCACUCGGGUUAAUAGCCCAGAGGGUGACGGUACCGCCAGAAGAAGCCCCGGCUAACUACGUGCCAGCAGCCGCGGUAAUACGUAGGGGGCAAGCGUUGUCCGGAUUUAUUGGGCGUAAAGAGCGUGUAGGCGGCCAGGUAGGUGGGUUGUGAAAACUGGAGGCUCAACCUUCAGACGUCGACCCAAACCCCCUGGCUAGAGUCCGGAAGAGGAGAGUGGAAUUCCUGGUGUAGCGGUGAAAUGCGCAGAUAUCAGGAAGAACACCCGUGGCGAAGGCGGCUCUCUGGGACGGUACUGACGCUGAGACGCGAAAGCGUGGGGAGCGAACAGGAUUAGAUACCCUGGUAGUCCACGCCGUAAACGAUGGGUGCUAGGUGUGGGGGGUGUCAACUCCCUCCGUGCCGAAGCUAACGCAUUAAGCACCCCGCCUGGGGAGUACGGCCGCAAGGCUA
rnacentral:rRNA from 1 species